GAAUUGUAUAAAGUAGUGGUGUUGGUCUCUCUCUAUCCACACACUUUCACUUCUUUAUUUCCUCUCUUCUUUUUCGCCCCCUUUAACACACCCAACCAUUCCAUUCUCAUCUUUUCUUUUCUUUUUUUGAGUCUAAAUAAGCAAGCCCAGACACAGAGAGAUAGUGUAGGACUGGCUCUCCCAACCAUGGAAGCUUUUAGUUUGCUCAAGUACUGGCAAGGUGGUGGCGCACCCCUUCCACCUCCCUCUACCGCCUCCGCCUCCGCCGCCGCCACUACCACCAUUCUCCGUCAGCACAAUAAUGCAACUGACAGCACAAUAAUCACUUAUUCUAGCUGUGUGCGGAUGGAAAUGGUGGAAGGACUUGAACCUCUUCGAUAUAAAGAUUUACCAAUUUUCAAUCUGUGAGAAUCUGCAGCUGAUAUCAUGUUGAAGAUGAUGCCUAAUGAUGACUUCAAUGAGAGUGAUUCAACUGUUUGUUUCACCAUGAGCUCAGUUGAAGAUUUGCCCGGGUUGAAAAUUGGUAGAUCUUUAAUCCGAAGAAAGAAGAAGAAGAAAAGAAGAAUCAUCGUCCGAAGAAGACGAAGAGGAAUCAUCGUCCAAAGACUAUACAAUUGGAUAGGUAUUGAAACAAGUGUAAGGCGCAUUUCAUUCUAAAUUGAAUAGGAAAUUCUAUACAAUGUUUGAUUGCCUUUGAUGCUAGUAUCAGUUAAUAAAAUACACAAUUUUGGCACCUCCACUCAGCUUUAACAAACUUUAUUCUAGCAACACUGAUAGCAUGCCAUACUGAUAAAUGUGCUAAUGUGGUAAAUUUUGGGGGUCAGUGAAGGCCGAGAAAUUACUACUUCAGUCUUCUUCUGUUGUUAUUCAUGUUGCUUCAGAUUUUACUAUUGGUGGAUGUAAGGGGCAAGUCCUUCCGAUGGUUGUUGGCGAUGUAGUCAUUUAUGCUUUUUAACUUGAUUCAUACUUUUCUUUAAAGCAAUUAAGGUAAUCUUGCUAAUCUAUUACCAGAAUUGUCUCUUUUCAAUUAGUUUUUAUGUCUAUUAAUUACUUAUGUUGAUUGUAAAUUUUUGGAUGGUGAUGUAUUUGAAUGGAGCAGUUCUUAUUCUGCAGUUAGGUGUCCUUUUGAACUGUGAUUCUCAGCAUACUAUUCAUCCUACUCUAUUAAAGAGUGAACAUUGGAAGUGAUAUAUAUUCACAAAAUAGUCACACUGAGGAAAAUGUAAGUCAUAUAGCCCCUAACACUUGUCCAUAACUAUACAUGCUUGCCUUUUAUGUAUCUACUUGAUAUUUCUUAUUAUGGUCUUGAAGUAGUUGUUGAUUCACCUAAUCCAACUCUUUUAUAAAGUUUUCAUUAGAGGGAGUUCUUGCUGUCUUGGACAGUUCGACUUGGUCUUAUGUUUGCUUCCCCAGAGACAAUUCAGCUUGCCUCUAUGAAGUGUCAUGGUGAUUGAUUAUUUGCAAAACAAGAAGUUUGAUCAAUUGUGAUAGGUCUUAGGUUGUAGCCUCUCUUCUUCACUGGAAAAGGAAAUGCUUUGAUAAAUAGUGUGGAAAUCGUUGGAAAUCGUUGGAAUUCGGAGCAUCUAUGUUCAUCAACCACUGGAUAGUUGGUGCUAGUAAUGCUAAUAGUCAAUUUAUUAGGUUUUGUAACACUAGGAUGAUUUACUACAAAUUAAACUAUGAAGAUGUCUUACCGCACAGGCAGAGUAAAAUGCAGGAGAAUCCAGCGUGAAGCCAAUCCUUACCAAUGCCUGGAAACAUAUUCGGCAAAGUUAUUUAGAGUUGCAUCCAACAUUACACAUAAACUAAGGAACUCAACAUUUUGUUGAUACAGCUUGGGAAGUACUAAUAAGAACCAUAAGCUCGUCUGGCUAAGCAAAACCAGUGACACGAUAAACAGAACAUCUUUGAAAUCAUUCUUAAAAUAUACCUCAAAAACGUCAUCAAGGACAAGAAAGCCACGACCCCUGCAUCAAUGAACCGAACAAGAAGUGUUAUAAUGCAGAAUCAAGUGAUCAUCCAAGGCGAUAUGACCGCACAAUUAUACUGACAAGCUAGAGUUUAGACAUAACAAGCUAUAGGCCACAGUAAUAUCGAUCCAAAAUAAGCAUGAACUAAUUCAUUAUAAA